rnacentral:ncRNA from 1 species
AAACAAAAGAGUUUGAUCCUGGCUCAGAUUGAACGCUAGCGGCAUGCUUAACACAUGCAAGUCGAACGGCAGCGCGGGUAGCUUGCUACCUGGCGGCGAGUGGCGGACGGGUGAGUAAUGCGUAGGAAUCUACCUUGUAGUGGGGGAUAACCCGGGGAAACUCGGGCUAAUACCGCAUAACCUCUACGGAGCAAAGCAGGGGACCUUCGGGCCUUGUGCUAUAAGAUGAGCCUACGUCGGAUUAGCUAGUUGGUGGGGUAAAGGCCUACCAAGGCGACGAUCCGUAGCUGGUCUGAGAGG